CCCUCCUGUAGGUUUUAACUCCAACCCUGUUCCUGGAGAACUACCCUCCUGUAGGUUUUAACUCCAACCCUGUUCCUGGAGAGAUACCCUCCUGUAGGUUUAUACUCCAACCCUGUUCCUGGAGAGCUACCCUCCUGUAGGUUUUAACUCCAACCCUGUUCCUGGAGAGCUACCCUCCUGUAGGUUUUAACUCCAACCCUGUUCCUGGAGAGAUAUCCUCCUGUAGGUUUUAACUCCAACCCUGUUCCUGGAGAGAUACCCUCCUGUAGGUUUUAACUCCAACCCUGUUCCUGGAGAGAUGCCCUCCUGUAGGUUUUAACUCCAACCCUGUUCCUGGAGAGCUACCCUCCUGUAGGUUUUAACUCCAACCCUGUUCCUGGAGAGAUACCCUCCUGUAGGUUUUAACUCCAACCCUGUUCCUGGAGAGAUACCCUCCUGUAGGUUU
rnacentral:lncRNA from 1 species